UCCGGCGGUCAUCUCGCGGUAACCUGGGCUCCACUGGCGCCAAAAUGUCGCUUGUAGCGGGAGUUAUCCGGCGGCUGGACGAGACAGUGGUGAAUCGAAUCGCGGCAGGGGAAGUUAUCCAGCGGCCGGCUAAUGCCAUCAAGGAAAUGAUUGAGAACUGUUUAGAUGCAAAAUCCACAAAUAUUCAAGUGGUUGUUAAAGAGGGAGGCCUGAAGUUGAUUCAGAUCCAAGACAAUGGCACUGGGAUCAGGAAAGAAGAUCUGGAUAUUGUAUGUGAGAGGUUCACCACAAGUAAACUGCAGUCCUUUGAGGAUUUAGCUCACAUCUCUACCUAUGGCUUUCGGGGCGAGGCUUUGGCCAGCAUAAGCCAUGUGGCUCACGUCACCAUUACAACCAAAACAACUGAUGGGAAGUGCGCAUACAGAGCACAAUACUCAGAUGGAAAGCUGAAAGCACCUCCCAAACCAUGUGCAGGCAAUCAAGGGACCCAGAUUACGGUGGAGGACCUUUUUUACAACAUAUCCACGAGGAGGAAAGCUUUAAAAAAUCCAAGUGAAGAGUAUGGAAAAAUUUUGGAAGUUGUUGGCAGGUAUGCAAUACACAAUUCAGGCAUUAGUUUCUCAGUUAAAAAACAAGGUGAGACGGCGACUGACGUCAGAACACUGCCCGGUGCCACGACCGUGGACAACAUCCGCUCCAUCUUUGGCAAUGCUGUUAGCCGAGAAUUGAUAGAAGUGAGAUGUGAGGAUAAAACCCUCGCCUUCAAAAUGAAUGGCUACAUAUCCAACGCAAACUACUCAGUGAAGAAGUGUAUCUUCUUACUCUUCAUCAACCAUCGUCUGGUAGAGUCACCGUCCUUAAGAAAAGCCAUAGAAACGGUGUACGCUGCAUAUUUGCCCAAAAACACGCACCCGUUCCUGUACCUCAGUUUAGAAAUCAGCCCCCAGAAUGUAGACGUCAACGUGCAUCCAACGAAGCACGAAGUUCACUUCCUGCAUGAAGACAGCAUCCUGGAGCGUGUGCAGCAGCACGUUGAGCACCAGCUCCUGGGCUCCAACGCCUCCAGGACGUACUUCACCCAGACUUUACUACCAGGUCUUGCUGGCCCCUCUGGGGAAGUGGUUAAAUCUACAGCGGGUGUGACCUCCUCAGCUGCUUCUGGAAGUGGCGACAAGGUCUAUGCCUACCAGAUGGUCCGCACAGAUUCCCGGGAGCAGAAGCUCGAUGCCUUCCUGCAGCCUGUGAGCAGGGCCCUGUCCAGUCAGCCCCAGGCUGAUGUCCCAGAGGACAGGACAGAUGCUUCUAGUAGCGGGGCCAGGCAGCAGGAUGAGGAAAUGCCUGAACUCCUAGCUCCUGCUGAAGCAGCUGCCAGUCAUCAGGGCCUGGAGAGGGAUGCAACAAAGAAGGCUUCAGAGUCAUCAGAGAAGAGAGGGCCACCUUCCAGCCCGGAGAACCCCAGAAAGCGACAUCGGGAAGGCUCUGACACGGAAACGGUGGACGAUGCAUCCCGAAAGGAAAUGACCGCAGCUUGUACCCCCCGGAGGAGGAUCAUUAACCUCACCAGCGUUCUGAGUCUCCAGGAAGAAAUUAACCAGCAGGGACAUGAGGCUCUCCGGGAGAUGCUGCGUGACCACUCCUUUGUGGGCUGUGUGAAUCCUCAGUGGGCCUUGGCACAACAUCAGACCAAGUUAUACCUUCUCAACACCACGAGACUUAGUGCGUCUAAGAGCAUGAUUUCCAAGGUGCCACAUCACAGUUGUUCAGGUCCUUCAUUUCACAGGUACAAAUCCAAGCCAGUCCCAGAAUCUCAGCUCCCGAUACAGUGUGAACAGUUUCCCAGGGAGACAGUGAACCACGUUGAGAGUGCAGUCUCUAGACUGAAUUCCUGCCCUUCCCACUUUCCUGACUCUGCCCCGGGACGCGGCAGUCACUGCGUGGGUGUCUCAGUGUCCCUGCUGUAACGCACCCAGAGCUGAUGCUUUCUCUCCUUUGAUAAGGAAAAGAAGGCUUUAAACAAGACCCCUGUGGUUCAGAUCACUUUCACAGCCACUGAGUAUCACUUACUUCGAUUCUGAGUUUUUGUAAGUAGUUCAGUGUAUCGUAUACUUCGCAGCUGCUUUUGGAACGUUGCCAGCCAGUGCAUAAACCCUACAUACACCAGAGUCGUCUCAUUCUGCCUUAUGUUCACUUCUCAUUACAUAGGCAUCUCCCUCCCCUCCCUGUGAGUCCCAUGUUUUUUAAAUGGCGAGUUGUAGAAGAAGUGAUUUAUGGGAUUCUUUUCAAGUGAGGAAAAGCUAAGCAAGCAAAAACUUAACCUUAUCACUACUGGGUGUCAAAACCUUUCACAACACCAGGGGGUGGGGACAGAGCAUGGGUGGUGACAAGCCAGAUGUAGUCCUAGUGCUCUGACCUGAGGCGGAGACCGGCCACCAUAGCCCCGGCCGGGGCCCCUGCUGGAGCCCUGGCUCCUGGUGGAACAGCAAGUCCCAGUGGAUGGUUAGAAAGGCCCCAAAUGAGGCAGAACAUCUCUGUCUCCUCCACGUGUCAGGUUCUCUCUCCCGUCUUGUCCCUCCUGCUUGGCUCUCAAGCAUGGAUUACUCAGCUCUUCCUUAACGUCACUGCGUUUUUAUUUUCAGUGAAGAACUGUUCUACCAGAUUCUCAUUUAUGAUUUUGCCAAUUUUGGUGUUCUGAGGUUCUCGGACCUUAGUACAAGGUUGAGCAGAAGUGGUGAGAAUGGAAAUCCUUCUCUUAUUCCUGAUCUCAGGGGGAAAGU